rnacentral:rRNA from 1 species
AUUGAACGCUAGCGGGAUGCUUUACACAUGCAAGUCGAACGAGUGGCGGACGGGUGAGUAAUAUAUCGGAACGUGCCCAGUAGCGGGGGCUAACUACUCGAAAGAGUGGCUAAUACCCCAUACUAUUGGAGCGGCCGAUAUCGGAUUAGCUAGUUGGUGGGGAAAAGGCUCACCAAGGCAACGAUCCGUAGCUGGUUUGAGAGGACGACGAGCCACACUGGGAAUGAGACACGGCCAAGACUCCUACGGGAGGCAGCAGUGGGGAAGUUUGGACAAUGGGGGAAACCCUGAGACAGACAGACAGCGUGUAUGAGAAGGCCUUCGGGGUGUAAAGUACUGUUGGAAGAGAAGCGGUAUCUGCAGAAUAAGCACCGGCUAACUACGUGCCAGCAGCCGCGGUAAUAC